UGACAGUCGAGCGAACAGAUAAGGAGCUUGCUCCUUUGACGUUAGCGGCGGACGGGUGAGUAACACGUGGAUAACCUACCUAUAAGACUGGGAUAACUUCGGGAAACCGGAGCUAAUACCGGAUAACAUAUUGAACCGCAUGGUUCAAUAGUGAAAGGCGGCUUUGCUGUCACUUAUAGAUGGAUCCGCGCCGUAUUAGCUAGUUGGUAAGGUAACGGCUUACCAAGGCAACGAUACGUAGCCGACCUGAGAGGGUGAUCGGCCACACUGGAACUGAGACACGGUCCAGACUCCUACGGGAGGCAGCAGUAGGGAAUCUUCCGCAAUGGGCGAAAGCCUGACGGAGCAACGCCGCGUGAGUGAUGAAGGUCUUCGGAUCGUAAAACUCUGUUAUCAGGGAAGAACAAAUGUGUAAGUAACUGUGCACAUCUUGACGGUACCUGAUCAGAAAGCCACGGCUAACUACGUGCCAGCAGCCGCGGUAAUACGUAGGUGGCAAGCGUUAUCCGGAAUUAUUGGGCGUAAAGCGCGCGUAGGCGGUUUUUUAAGUCUGAUGUGAAAGCCCACGGCUCAACCGUGGAGGGUCAUUGGAAACUGGAAAACUUGAGUGCAGAAGAGGAAAGUGGAAUUCCAUGUGUAGCGGUGAAAUGCGCAGAGAUAUGGAGGAACACCAGUGGCGAAGGCGACUUUCUGGUCUGUAACUGACGCUGAUGUGCGAAAGCGUGGGGAU
rnacentral:rRNA from 1 species